UUCUGAGCGGUGAGGCUUUGGCGCAGGAACCUGAAGCCGGCCUCGUGCUGGCCGGAGAGCACGCAGGGAGCUGGCUAGCGUUCCUCAGGCCAAAGCCGGCUUUUCUGUCUUAUUUCGGAUUGAGAGAGAAGGCACACAGAAGGAAGAGAAAAGGGUUGCAAUAGAACGACAUGCAAGUCUCUGCUCUAACUGAAAAGGAGCGGUUCACCGGACCGAUGUUAAAAAGGGGCUUCCGGCUGACCCAUCCCCCAAACGUCAAGAAUCUACGUUUCUGGCUGACUUCAGGGAAGCUGCUGUGUUACCAGGACCAUCCAGAGGGCUGGCUGAGCUGGAGUGCGGAGCCACCCCGGAGCGCCUUCCCCUAUAAGUGUGUAAGCUCUUAGCUGCUGUUCCAGUGCUGUGCCUGCUGACCUGCGGCCAUGCUUCUCUACCUUGAUCCAUGGAUUCAC